rnacentral:rRNA from 1 species
GAACGGUAAGGCCCUUUCGGGGGUACACGAGUGGCGAACGGGUGAGUAACACGUGGGUGAUCUGCCCUGCACUUUGGGAUAAGCCUGGGAAACUGGGUCUAAUACCGGAUAGGACCAUGGUCUGCAUGGAUUGUGGUGGAAAGCUUUUGCGGUGUGGGAUGGGCCCGCGGCCUAUCAGCUUGUUGGUGGGGUGAUGGCCUACCAAGGCGACGACGGGUAGCCGGCCUGAGAGGGUGUCCGGCCACACUGGGACUGAGAUACGGCCCAGACUCCUACGGGAGGCAGCAGUGGGGAAUAUUGCACAAUGGGCGCAAGCCUGAUGCAGCGACGCCGCGUGGGGGAUGACGGCCUUCGGGUUGUAAACCUCUUUCAAUAGGGACGAAGCGCAAGUGACGGUACCUAUAGAAGAAGCACCGGCCAACUACGUGCCAGCAGCCGCGGUAAUACGUAGGGUGCGAGCGUUGUCCGGAAUUACUGGGCGUAAAGAGCUCGUAGGUGGUUUGUCACGUUGUCCGUGAAAACUCACAGCUUAACUAUGGGCGUGCGGGCGAUACGGGCAGACUGGAGUACUGCAGGGGAGACUGGAAUUCCUGGUGUAGCGGUGGAAUGCGCAGAUAUCAGGAGGAACACCGGUGGCGAAGGCGGGUCUCUGGGCAGUAACUGACGCUGAGGAGCGAAAGCGUGGGGAGCGAACAGGAUUAGAUACCCUGGUAGUCCACGCCGUAAACGGUGGGUACUAGGUGUGGGUUUCCUUCCUUGGGAUCCGUGCCGUAGCUAACGCAUUAAGUACCCCGCCUGGGGAGUACGGCCGCAAGGCUAAAACUCAAAGAAAUUGACGGGGGCCCGCACAAACGGCGGAGCAUGUGGAUUAAUCCGAUGCAACGCGAAGAACCUUACCUGGGUUUGACAUGCACAGGACGCUGGUAGAGAUAUCAGUUCCCUUGUGGCCUGUGUGCAGGUGGUGCAUGGCUGUCGUCAGCUCGUGUCGUGAGAUGUUGGGUUAAGUCCCGCAACGAGCGCAACCCUUGUCCUAUGUUGCCAGCGGGUUAUGCCGGGGACUCGUAGGAGACUGCCGGGGUCAACUCGGAGGAAGGUGGGGAUGACGUCAAGUCAUCAUGCCCCUUAUGUCCAGGGCUUCACACAUGCUACAAUGGCCGGUACAAAGGGCUGCGAUGCCGUGAGGUGGAGCGAAUCCUUGUUAAAGCCGGUCUCAGUUCGGAUCGGGGU